GGCGUCGAGCGGCGGACGGGUGAGUAAUGCCUGGGAAAUUGCCCUGAUGUGGGGGAUAACCAUUGGAAACGAUGGCUAAUACCGCAUAAUAGCUUCGGCUCAAAGAGGGGGACCUUCGGGCCUCUCGCGUCAGGAUAUGCCCAGGUGGGAUUAGCUAGUUGGUGAGGUAAGGGCUCACCAAGGCGACGAUCCCUAGCUGGUCUGAGAGGAUGAUCAGCCACACUGGAACUGAGACACGGUCCAGACUCCUACGGGAGGCAGCAGUGGGGAAUAUUGCACAAUGGGCGCAAGCCUGAUGCAGCCAUGCCGCGUGUAUGAAGAAGGCCUUCGGGUUGUAAAGUACUUUCAGCAGUGAGGAAGGCGGGUGUGUUAAUAGCGCAUUCGUUUGACGUUAGCUGCAGAAGAAGCACCGGCUAACUCCGUGCCAGCAGCCGCGGUAAUACGGAGGGUGCGAGCGUUAAUCGGAAUUACUGGGCGUAAAGCGCAUGCAGGUGGUUUGUUAAGUCAGAUGUGAAAGCCCGGGGCUCAACCUCGGAAUUGCAUUUGAAACUGGCAGACUAGAGUACUGUAGAGGGGGGUAGAAUUUCAGGUGUAGCGGUGAAAUGCGUAGAGAUCUGAAGGAAUACCGGUGGCGAAGGCGGCCCCCUGGACAGAUACUGACACUCAGAUGCGAAAGCGUGGGGAGCAAACAGGAUUAGAUACCCUGGUAGUCCACGCCGUAAACGAUGUCUACUUGGAGGUUGUGGCCUUGAGCCGUGGCUUUCGGAGCUAACGCGUUAAGUAGACCGCCUGGGGAGUACGGUCGCAAGAUUAAAACUCAAAUGAAUUGACGGGGGCCCGCACAAGCGGUGGAGCAUGUGGUUUAAUUCGAUGCAACGCGAAGAACCUUACCUACUCUUGACAUCCAGAGAAGCUUGUAGAGAUACGAGUGUGCCUUCGGGAGCUCUGAGACAGGUGCUGCAUGGCUGUCGUCAGCUCGUGUUGUGAAAUGUUGGGUUAAGUCCCGCAACGAGCGCAACCCUUAUCCUUGUUUGCCAGCACUUCGGGUGGGAACUCCAGGGAGACUGCCGGUGAUAAACCGGAGGAAGGUGGGGACGACGUCAAGUCAUCAUGGCCCUUACGAGUAGGGCUACACACGUGCUACAAUGGCGCAUACAGAGGGCGGCCAACUUGCGAGAGUGAGCGAAUCCCAAAAAGUGCGUCGUAGUCCGGAUUGGAGUCUGCAACUCGACUCCAUGAAGUCGGAAUCGCUAGUAAUCGU
rnacentral:rRNA from 1 species